UGCCAUUGAUUUCACUGGGUUCACAUUUUGGGUGUGGAGCUGACAGCUAAUAAACACACCACAAAGCAAGAAAGAGCUCUCAGUAGUUUCCUUUGGGAAUUAACCUUGAGGUUUUGUGUGCAGCCAUAGUUUAUCUCUUCACAGCCCCAGUCCAGCAAGGCUUCCCAAGGUAGGUGUUGGCACUCAGAACCCUGCUGAACGUGCUGCAUGCCUAUGUCUAGCUUUCCUUGGGAAGGGAACACAGCAGUCCCUCAGAGCCUCAUUUCAUGCGGACUAUACUGUUUUGCUUAAAAGCAUACAGGAGAAUAAGGUGAUGACUGGCAUUACAUUUCUUUCAUCUGUGCACCCUUAGUAUUUUUGUCUUCUUUUAUGUGUGUGUAUGUGUUAUGGAAUGUGUCUAAUGUAUUUUAUCAAAUAAAUCUGCAGUCUGUUUUAUCUAAUAUAUAUCUGCUCUCCUUUCUUUCCACAGGUAUUUAAUUCUUCUUACUGUUCUACUCUCAGAUGUUCCUGAAUGUAUCUCCAAACUAUUGUUUAGAAAUGGAGGGAAAAAAAUAGAAUAUGGGACAGAAGAGGUAAGAAUAUUAUUUCUGUCUUUAUUUCAGAAAUCAGUCCUUUUCAUUUAGUCAAAUUGUUUUCAUUUUCAACCGUUCUGUUUUCCUUCUUUGUCUUCCCUCUGUGUACCAUGGAAGCCCUCUAUGUCCCAUGGAAGCCAUACAGAUCUUGUAGGAUGAGAAGGUUUGUUUUGAUCUUUGGUUACUUCUUGUUUUGUGACUGCUAUUCUUCAGAUACUUUACUGCCUUAACCACUUUAUCAGUGGUGCUACUUUCAUGUUCUAAGAAGCUGUUCUCCUCAUGUUUAUAUACUGUGGGUUUCUUAUCUGCUUCUGUUUUUGCACACCCUUUCACAGAGAGCCAGGCAGUCUCCUUGCACAGAACAAGGUUCAUAUCUCCCAAUGAGAGUUACAGAGCUGAAAAGGUUAUUUCUAUGCUGAGAGAAGGAGAAGAACCAGAACUGCCACAGUACCAAAACCAGAGUUGCAGAGCCCAGUGCACUGAGUGGAGAACUGGUAGUCAUCUCUGGGUGAGUAGAGAGGAGGCAAAGGGAAGUGGGGGGUGGGCAAAGCCAACACUUAACCUUUGAUAAGUACAUGAAGAGUACAGAAGGUCAAGACAGAAAUACAGGUGCAUGAUCACCCCAGCUAUUGGAAUUAAAUGGGACUCAGGCCACGUUAAGCAACCCUCAGCUGGUUGUUUCUUCUGUCCCAGCCCCUUCUAUUUGUUCCCUCAUUUGUACAACCACUCUGAACUGUCCUAGCAAAGUAAUUGGGCUGCAAUCUGAUGUAAAAGGAAAAGCCGCAUCCAUUGCUUGGUUUGAGUCACCACAUAGCUGCAAAAACAGCUCUCUCAGCAAAGUGGAAGAGGCAAUCAGGAAGAGAGGAUGUGCAUGACCCAUGUACGAAGGUGUUGCAGUUGAAGAAACCUGCAAAAAGUGCUGAUCUGUUGUUGUCAAACUAUUUUUUGCCAAUGCUUCACUACAGAAUGAAUUCACAAAAUGGUUUGUCCUCAGUCGAGCUAUCAUCAAAACUGUUUUAUGAUACCAUCAUUCUUAGCAAAAAAACGUUACCUUUGCUUAUCUACCUUUGCUUGUUUAUGGUACUGUAGACAAAAUCUGAUUCAUCAAAAUUAAUGAGAAUAGUCAGAAAAGACACAAAGAUAGUGAAACUUGUCUUAAGUGACUUUUAAAUUACUUUGGACUGCUUUCACAGUUGACUCUUAAACUGUAGUCUGUGACAAUACAGUCCAUGAGUAGAUUCCAAGUAUUUUCUCUUGUAUUCUUGUAGUGCAUUACGUACCUUUUAUAACAUAGGUAUGUCUUUUCAUCUUUCUUUUUC
ensembl:lncRNA